GGGGAAUAUUGCACAAUGGGCGAAAGCCUGAUGCAGCAACGCCGCGUGAGUGAUGAAGGCCUUCGGGUCGUAAAGCUCUGUUAUUGGGGAAGAGUAGAAGACGGUACCCCUUGAAUAAUCCACGGCAAACUACGUGCCAGCAGCCGCGGUAAUACGUAGGUGGCAAGCGUUGUCCGGAUUUACUGGGUGUAAAGGGCGUGUAGCCGGGAAGGUAAGUCAGAUGUGAAAUCUGGGGGCUCAACCUCCAAACUGCAUUUGAAACUACUUUUCUUGAGUAUCGGAGAGGUAAUCGGAAUUCCUUGUGUAGCGGUGAAAUGCGUAGAUAUAAGGAAGAACACCAGUGGCGAAGGCGGAUUACUGGACGACAACUGACGGUGAGGCGCGAAAGCGUGGGGAGCAAACA
rnacentral:rRNA from 1 species